GGAGUUAGCCGGUGCUUCUUCUGUGAGUGAUGUCCUUCCUGCCGGCUAUUAACCCGCAGGCCUUCUUCCUCACUGAAAGUGCUUUACAACCCGAAGGCCUUCUUCACACACGCGGCAUGGCUGGAUCAGGGUUGCCCCCAUUGUCCAAUAUUCCCCACUGCUGCCUCCCGUAGGAGUCUGGGCCGUGUCUCAGUCCCAGUGUGGCUGAUCAUCCUCUCAGACCAGCUACGGAUCGUCGCCUUGGUGAGCCGUUACCUCACCAACCAGCUAAUCCGACAUAGGCUCAUCCGAUAGCGCGAGGCCCGAAGGUCCCCCGCUUUCCCCCGUAGGGCGUAUGCGGUAUUAGCCUGGGUUUCCCCAGGUUAUCCCCCACUACCGGGCAGAUUCCUAUGCAUUACUCACCCGUCCUCCGCUCGCCACCAGGGAGCAAGCUCCCCGUGCUGCCGCUCGACUUGCAUGUGUUAGGCCUGCCGCCAGCGUUCAAUCUGAGCCAUGAUCAAACUCUGA
rnacentral:rRNA from 1 species